UACGUAGGGGGCAAGCGUUGUCCGGAUUUAUUGGGCGUAAAGAGCGUGUAGGCGGCCAUACAGGUCCGUUGUGAAAACUCGAGGCUUAACCUCGAGACGUCGAUGGAAACCGUAUGGCUAGAGUCCGGAAGAGGAGAGUGGAAUUCCUGGUGUAGCGGUGAAAUGCGCAGAUAUCAGGAAGAACACCCGUGGCGAAGGCGGCUCUCUGGGACGGUACUGACGCUGAGACGCGAAAGCGUGGGGGAGCGAACAGG
rnacentral:rRNA from 1 species